rnacentral:tRNA from 1 species
GGGAUUGUGGCUCAAUGGCAGAGCACUUGCCUCAUACGUGUGAGGCACUGGGUUCAAUCCUCAGCACCA